rnacentral:rRNA from 1 species
AUGAACGCUGGCGGCGUGCCUAAUACAUGCAAGUCGAGCGAACAGACGAGGAGCUUGCUCCUCUGACGUUAGCGGCGGACGGGUGAGUAACACGUGGAUAACCUACCUAUAAGACUGGGAUAACUUCGGGAAACCGGAGCUAAUACCGGAUAAUAUAUUGAACCGCAUGGUUCAAUAGUGAAAGACGGUUUUGCUGUCACUUAUAGAUGGAUCCGCGCCGCAUUAGCUAGUUGGUAAGGUAACGGCUUACCAAGGCAACGAUGCGUAGCCGACCUGAGAGGGUGAUCGGCCACACUGGAACUGAGACACGGUCCAGACUCCUACGGGAGGCAGCAGUAGGGAAUCUUCCGCAAUGGGCGAAAGCCUGACGGAGCAACGCCGCGUGAGUGAUGAAGGUCUUCGGAUCGUAAAACUCUGUUAUUAGGGAAUAACAAAUGUGUAAGUAACUAUGCACGUCUUGACGGUACCUAAUCAGAAAGCCACGGCUAACUACGUG